GUGGUAUUUCUGUUAGAGCAGCCAGCAGCACAUAUACUAAAAUUGGAAUGAUACAGAGAAGAUUAGCAUGGCCCCUGUGUACGGAUGACACGCAAAUUCGUGAAGCGUUCCAUAUCUGA
rnacentral:snRNA from 1 species